UGUUCAUUCGUGAAUUCCCAAAAUUAAAAUACCUAUCUUCCAAAGCUUUUCAAAAUCUCACCUCUCUUCAAGAAUUAGACAUCUAUCAAUGUCCGGAUCUUACAUCCUUUCCAGAGGAGGGCCUCCCAUCAUCACUUUUGGAAUUAAGGAUUACGGAUUGCGAUCUGUUAAAAGAACGGUGUAAGAAGGAUGAAGGACAAGAGUGGUCGAAGAUUGCCCAUAUCCGUGAAAUCAGUAUUUUGUAAAGAUGUAUAAAAGGAAGGAAGAACAAGCUCUACGUAGUCUCAAAAUCCAAAGAAUUAGCUCUUGAGGAAUAUCUGAACUCCCAACUCCAAUCAAUCACAAUGGGUGAAUUUGCAGGAAGAAAACCUGGCUAUGCACAUCAUAAUGAGACUGUGAACAUCCUUUUUGUGGUAGAAGUACUAGUUGAAAUAGUUGAGGCAGAAUCUCUGCAAGCAUGCUACUUGUGUACUACUUGAAGAUUUCCUUCUCUCCUAACGCAAACUU